rnacentral:rRNA from 1 species
AUACGGAGGGUGCAAGCGUUAAUCGGAAUUACUGGGCGUAAAGCGCUCGUAGGCGGCUUGUUAAGUCGGAUGUGAAAGCCCCGGGCCCAACCUGGGAACUGCAUUCGAUACUGGCAAACUAGAGUAUAGAAGAGGCAAGUGGAAUUCCGGGUGUAGCGGUGAAAUGCGUAGAUAUCCGGAGGAACAUCAGUGGCGAAGGCGACUUGCUGGUCUAAUACUGACGCUGAGGAGCGAAAGCGUGGGGAGCAAACGGGAUUAGAAACCCCGGUAGUCC